rnacentral:rRNA from 1 species
AUUGAACGCUGGCGGAAUGCUUUACACAUGCAAGUCGAACGGCAGCACGGACUUCGGUCUGGUGGCGAGUGGCGAACGGGUGAGUAAUGUAUCGGAACGUGCCCAGUCGUGGGGGAUAACGUAGUGAAAAUUACGCUAAUACCGCAUACGAUCUAUGGAUGAAAGCGGGGGAUCGCAAGACCUCGCGCGAUUGGAGCGGCCGAUAUCAGAUUAGGUAGUUGGUGGGGUAAAGGCCCACCAAGCCAACGAUCUGUAGCUGGUCUGAGAGGACGACCAACCACACUGGAACUGGGACACGGUCCAGACUCCUACGGGAGGCAGCAGUGGGGAAUUUUGGACAAUGGGCGAAAGCCUGAUUCAGCCAUUCCGCGUGCAGGAUGAAGGCCCUCGGGUUGUAAACUGCUUUUGUACAGAACGAAAAGGUUUCUACUAAUACUAGGAGCUCAUGACGGUACUGUAAGAAUAAGCACCGGCUAACUACGUGCCAGCCGCCGCGGUAA